rnacentral:rRNA from 1 species
GAUGAACGCUAGCGGCAGGCCUAACACGUGCAAGUCGAGGGAGAAGCCCUUCGGGGCGGAAACCGGCGCACGGGUGCGUAACGCGUAUGCAACCUACCUUUCACAGGGGGAUAGCCCGAAGAAAUUUGGAUUAAUACCCCAUAAUAUUAUUGGAUGGCAUCAUUUGAUAAUUAAAAUUACGAUGGUGAAAGAUGGGCAUGCGUCCUAUUAGCUAGUUGGAGUGGUAACGGCACCCCAAGGCUACGAUAGGUAGGGGUCCUGAGAGGGAGAUCCCCCACACUGGUACUGAGACAGGGACCAGACUCCUACGGGAGGCAGCAGUGAGGAAUAUUGGUCAAUGGUCGGAAGACUGAACCAGCCAUGCCGCGUGCAGGAAGAAUGCCUUAUGGGUUGUAAACUGCUUUUAUAUGGGAAGAAUAAGGAGUACGUGUACUUUGAUGACGGUACCAUAUGAAUAAGCAUCGGCUAACUCCGUGCCAGCAGCCGCGGUAAUACGGAGGAUGCGAGCGUUAUUCGGAAUCAUUGGGUUUAAAGGGUCUGUAGGCGGGCUAUUAAGUCAGGGGUGAAAGGUUUCAGCUUAACUGAGAAAUUGCCUUUGAUACUGGUAGUCUUGAAUAUCUGUGAAGUUCUUGGAAUGUGUAGUGUAGCGGUGAAAUGCUUAGAUAUUACACAGAGCACCGAUUGCGGAGGCAGGGGACUAACAGACGAUUGACGCUGAGAGACGAAAGCGUGGGGAGCGAACAGGAUUAGAUACCCUGGUAGUCCACGCUGUAAACGAUGGAUACUAGCUGUUUGGAGAAAUUUGAGUGGCUAAGCGAAAGUGAUAAGUAUCCCACCUGGGGAGUACGCACGCAAGUGUGAAACUCAAAGGAAUUGACGGGGGCCCGCACAAGCGGUGGAGCAUGUGGUUAAUUCGAUGAUACGCGAGGAACCUUACCAAGGUUUAAAUGGAGACUGACAGGGGCAGAGAUG